GGAGAUGUAGCUGAGUGGUAAAGUGCUUGCCUAGCAUGUCAAAGGCCCUGGGUUCGAUCCCCAGCACUACA
rnacentral:tRNA from 2 species